GACGAACGCUGGCGGCGCGCUUAACACAUGCAAGUCGAACGGAAAGGCCUGCUUUCCCUUGUGGAUUGCGGGUACUCGAGUGGCGAACGGGUGAGUAACACGUGAGUGAUCUGCCCCCAACUUGGGUAUAAGCCUGGGAAACUGGGUCUAAUUCCCGAUAGGACUGCAGGGUGGUGCCUGUGGUGGAAAACGAUUUUCUAGUGGUUGGGGAUGAGCUCGCGGCCUAUCAGCUUGUUGGUGGGGUAAUGGCCUACCAAGGCGGCGACGGGUAGCCGGCCUGAGAGGGUGGACGGCCACAUUGGGACUGAGAUACGGCCCAGACUCCUACGGGAGGCAGCAGUGGGGAAUAUUACACAAUGGGCGGAAGCCUGAUGCAGCGACGCCGCGUGGGGGAUGACGGCCUUCGGGUGGUAAACUCCUUUCGACCGCGAGGAAGCCACCUGGUUGGAAGGGUGGUGACGGUAGUGGUAGAAGAAGCACCGGCUAACUACGUG
rnacentral:rRNA from 1 species